GCCCUUCAGCAGCUGUAGAAGCGGGCGUGGUGUUGUCGCUACUGUCAGAUCCUGGACCAGGCAGCUGUCUUUUCCUGACUUGGACAUCAGCAGCGGAAGCAAGGGAAGUUUCAAGACACGCAGUAAAGUUUGCUUCACUCCAGGGAUCACAGUGCACAAAACCGGAGCAUACUUCUCUCUGAGCUCUCCGUGAUGUUGAAAAAGAGAUGUCAUAGACACAGGGCCAUCCACAGGAACACGAACAACCCACCAGCUGCCAAACCGCUGAAGAAAAGCGACUCCCCCUCCUCCAGCAGACAUAAGUUGCCAGUGGCUAAGAGUGGAACCACCUGAGUCCCCACCUCCAUCGAUGCUGCAAUGUGCGUGGCUCGACCUUGUGCUCGGCCAGCUUUAAGAGGACAGAGCCAGUGACUGCGAGUGGGAAAGAUCGUGUCUGUAAGGGCAGAGGAGACACCAAUGAACUGAGUGCCACCUGCCUCCGUGUGACAGGAGCCUAGCAUAACUGUCUCCUGAGAGGCUUCAUCCAGCAGUGGAUGGAAACAGAUGCAGAGAGAACCACAGUCAAACCUCAGGCAGAGCUCAGGCAUCAGAGUGUGGGGAUGCUCCAACACCACACAGGAAGCUGAAAAGAAAAGGUCAGGCCCUGGCACUUACAAGCAUGGAGUUUUCUAGUUGUUCUCAAACAGAAGAAAUGGAGGACCGGAAAGAUAAGAACAGUGCCCGUUUCAUGGGGACUGAACACAUUGAGAGAACCUUACCACAGUUAAGUCUCUCUGCCUACAAGGGACCCGUGAGAUCCUCUAUCACACCAGGAGAUCAAGGCACAGCAAAGACACACAUCUGGAUCUCACAGCUCACAUCCUCUAUUCCUCUGAACUGCUCCAUUAAAGGCACAGAAAAGAAAAUGGUGCCAUUUUACUGAUGGAUUCAGUGCAACAUAUGGACUAUGUACCUGACCAAACUGCAGGGUUGAGGUAUCCACGAAUAAAUCAUCUUCACAGAGAAUUAAAAAUCCCACAUUUAAAUCUCCACAUA
rnacentral:lncRNA from 1 species